AGUAGAUGUGACGUAAGCGGAAGCCCCAGAGCACUCACGCGCAUGGGGGGAUUCUUGCUUUUGCUGCUGGGAGCCUGGGGUCCCCUGUGAUGAAGCCUGGGCUGGUCUGCUGGAGGACGCGGGGACCCGCUGUUGCACCUGACGGCCUUGCACCCACCAGUGUGCCAACCAGCUUGAUGGAGUGAGCGCUCCAGCCCACCCACCGACUGGCCUCAGGGUGAGCGGCUGGCCCAGGUCGGGAGGACUGCCCAGCGGAACUACAGAACUGUAAACCAAAUAGAACGCAGUCUAGGAGAAGGUGCUUAAGCACCGUGCAGGUCCGGCCCUGGGCGGCGUGCGGCUCACCCCGGGCAGCGGGCAGGUCUGGUUUUCUCCAGUCGCAGGGAAUCCAACAUGGUGGAAACAAGCUGCUGUAGAUCUGAAGAGGAAGUUUGGCAAACAUCUUGCUUUUUGGUUCAGAGCUGGGUUACUCGGAUCAUUCUGUCAGAAAUCCAGACAAGACUCUGAUGGAGAGAAAAAUCAGGUGAAGAGACCCGGGCAAGAGGAGGUCGGGUAGGACUCUGACUGCGCCUGACACCGUGUCGGAAGCAGUCCAGGAUUCAGACGUCGAUGGGGAGGAACUGCCCACUGAGGCUGCACUGGAUUUCUGGUCAAGCGCGCCGUGGAGGGUCAGGGCAGCUGCUGGGAGGUCCACGCAGUUUCACACAGGUAGCUGACGCUGCCCGGCUGACCAAGGGACGCUCCUGGGGCUGAGGCUUUGUGGUCACCCAGGCUGAGUGAGGAAGACGCUGCCUUUAAAGCUCCCUGUCCAGCAUGUCCUGAGUUAGGAAGACCUCAGAUCCCGAGAAACCGUGUCUUUUCCUCUGAAUAGCGGUGCCUCUUAAACACCUUUUAUGGAGUCUGGGGUCGUUGCCUUUGUAGGAACAAUGCAAAAACCUGUUGUUGCUUUGCAUUUCGAAAUGUCUGUGUUCACUUCUCUGACCUGAUAAAAGAACUUGAAUUUGAAAGA
rnacentral:lncRNA from 1 species